GGGUUGUGAGGUUAAGCGACUAAGCGUACACGGUGGAUGCCCUGGCAGUCAGAGGCGAUGAAGGACGUGCUAAUCUGCGAUAAGCGUCGGUAAGGUGAUAUGAACCGUUAUAACCGGCGAUUUCCGAAUGGGGAAACCCAGUGUGUUUCGACACACUAUCAUUAACUGAAUCCAUAGGUUAAUGAGGCGAACCGGGGGAACUGAAACAUCUAAGUACCCCGAGGAAAAGAAAUCAACCGAGAUUCCCCCAGUAGCGGCGAGCGAACGGGGAGGAGCCCAGAGCCUGAAUCAGUGUGUGUGUUAGUGGAAGCGUCUGGAAAGGCGCGCGAUACAGGGUGACAGCCCCGUACACAAAAAUGCACAUAUUGUGAGCUCGAUGAGUAGGGCGGGACACGUGGUAUCCUGUCUGAAUAUGGGGGGACCAUCCUCCAAGGCUAAAUACUCCUGACUGACCGAUAGUGAACCAGUACCGUGAGGGAAAGGCGAAAAGAACCCCGGCGAGGGGAGUGAAAAAGAACCUGAAACCGUGUACGUACAAGCAGUGGGAGCACGCUUAGGCGUGUGACUGCGUACCUUUUGUAUAAUGGGUCAGCGACUUAUAUUCUGUAGCAAGGUUAACCGAAUAGGGGAGCCGAAGGGAAACCGAGUCUUAACUGGGCGUUAAGUUGCAGGGUAUAGACCCGAAACCCGGUGAUCUAGCCAUGGGCAGGUUGAAGGUUGGGUAACACUAACUGGAGGACCGAACCGACUAAUGUUGAAAAAUUAGCGGAUGACUUGUGGCUGGGGGUGAAAGGCCAAUCAAACCGGGAGAUAGCUGGUUCUCCCCGAAAGCUAUUUAGGUAGCGCCUCGUGAAUUCAUCUCCGGGGGUAGAGCACUGUUUCGGCAAGGGGGUCAUCCCGACUUACCAACCCGAUGCAAACUGCGAAUACCGGAGAAUGUUAUCACGGGAGACACACGGCGGGUGCUAACGUCCGUCGUGAAGAGGGAAACAACCCAGACCGCCAGCUAAGGUCCCAAAGUCAUGGUUAAGUGGGAAACGAUGUGGGAAGGCCCAGACAGCCAGGAUGUUGGCUUAGAAGCAGCCAUCAUUUAAAGAAAGCGUAAUAGCUCACUGGUCGAGUCGGCCUGCGCGGAAGAUGUAACGGGGCUAAACCAUGCAC
rnacentral:rRNA from 1 species